rnacentral:rRNA from 1 species
GUUUCGGUGGCCAUAGCGAGAGGGAAA